rnacentral:rRNA from 1 species
UACAGAGGGUGCGAACGUUGCUCGGAAUUACUGGGCGUAAAGCGCAUGUAGGCGGGUCUGCAAGUCAGAUGUGAAAUCCCCGGGCUCAACCCGGGAACUGCAUCUGAAACUGCAGGCCUUGAGUACUGGAGAGGGUGGCGGAAUUCCUGGUGUAGAGGUGAAAUUCGUAGAUAUCAGGAGGAACACCGGUGGCGAAGGCGGGUCUCUCUGCCGAUACUGACGCUGAGGAGCGAAAGCGUGGGGAUCGAACAGG